CGGGGGCUUGGGCCGCGCGGCAGGCGGAACUGGGGCCGACGCAGGCCCCCAGGCUUGAGGGAGCUACAGCCCACUUGGAGAGGCCAGAUGAAGUAAUCACGCCGCCGAAGAGGGUGAGGUGGUGAAUGCUCAGCAGGAAAGCAGUUUUCCAUAACAACGUGUCACCAGGAGCCUGAUGGAGACUCUCGAAAGCAUUCCUGCGAUGGGAUCCUUGAGCUAGAUUCUAAAGGGCGAGUUCCCUGAAGAUGUGUGUGCACGCUGGGUGAAACUCUGCUGAUUCCAUCUCUGCCUGGUUCUCUGGGCCUAAAAUGUGAUUUGUUUGAGGACCGCCCAGGUUUGUUUGGUUCAUUGUUAAGCACAUACUUUUUUAACGCUGACCUGCAUAAGACCCUGUUUUGUAUGGAUAUGAAUAAAUGGGGUCAGACUCCAAGGAGACUUGUCACACUGUUUUCUGUGCACAGUGACGGUGUGUCUGAGGGUGUCGCCUCUGCUUCUGAGAUGCAUGGUUGGCAGCACUGUUCCCCGUGAAAGUGACUCAUAGAGAGCCACUCGCCAUUCUCUA